CGUAAUACUCGUUAUCAAAGGAGAAAAAGCAAAUGUAAUUUCGUGAUAAAUGCCUGGUCCGCUGUGUUUGAUAACUAAAGUCGUUCUUUGUGACUGCUUGAAGAUGCUGAAAUAGAGACUGCAAACAAAGAACGGAAGUCUCACAGCCGUGACGGAUGAAUCCGUUCUACCGCCUAAAAACAGGCUUUUAAUACCGAGACAGAAUCUUUUUAGCUUUUUUAACGUGUUUAUUUCCUUUCGUACGAGGAAUGAAUAGAAGUCAUAUAUCAGGUGUCCUCUAAUUUACAAUAAAAAUGGGAUCAUGGGGAGAUUCUGUGGCUCAAAAUAAGACGAAACUCAAGAUUAACAAAAUUGCGUUACAGGCUUCAUUUUUUAAAAAGUCGAAUUUGAACAUUUUUUUAUUAAUUGUCCUACUUUCGCAGCUACUUUCGGAUCUUUAUAAAACAGUCUGAUCAGACAGAAACACAGAUGCGAUCAUGCCCAAGAAUAUUUCCACAAAUUAUACUGCUUGAGAUUAUUGGUGAAGGAAACACAAUCGUAUAUUAUUAAGGCCAUGUGAUCAAACACAAUCUACGAUUAAUUACGAAAAUAUUGAUCGAUUAAACAUUAAACAAGUAAAAGAGCGCUGGUUUCGGUCGAAUCAACAUGAUUUAUCAAAAUCACGGUGAUUGCUAUUUGCAUUGGGACCAUUGUCGUGCACGUUACGCAAGAACGUGUUUGCACCACAUAAACGGGAAAUCGAUUUGUAUUUUACCUUUCACGCCAGCUCGCUUCGUCGAAAGAAUUCGUUCAAUUUCUCGUUGCAACACUAUUGUAUGACGAAUCAUCGUUUGCACGACCCUUUCGAGAUUAUGCAUACGUUUCGCUCGAGUAAACCAAUGACUCGUUCGUCCACGAAUCUUCUCUCCUUGUCGCGCUGGAUACAGUUAUGCUUGCAAAGCGAAUGUCGAGAAUAAGACGAAUCAUGCAAUGACGCAAAAUUUGCGUAUUUUUUGUUUGGAUUGUUAAGAAAUAUUCUUUCCUGCAGUAUUUAAUUCAGUUUGUUAAUGCAUCAGCAAAGUACAAAAACUAUCAAAGGAUGUAAUUAUUUUAAAACCGGGUUGCAUCGUCGUCUUUUAUGGAAAAAGGCCCUUCUAAGGAGUGUAUACACAACAUCUCCAUGUGGAUUCCAUAUACGCCGUGAGGAUAAAAAGAGAUCUUGGAUGUCAGACGAAGGUCGGCAUUGGACAAAGUACAGACAAAUACAUGAACUUUAUUUAAAGAGGAGAAAGCAUACAGAAGGUAAAAUUAAUAAUUAAAUAAUGCAGAAGAAUUGAAAGAAAAACGUUUUCUUCUAAAGAAAAAAGGAAGAGAAACUAUACUUUAACUAUAUAUAUAACAUAUAUGACUAUAAUUAUUUGCAAGGUGUUACAUAUGAAUUUGCUUAUAAAUACAUGUAGAACAUAAUACAUAGAUUUUAUUAUGAUAUAAUAAUAAAUAUGAAAUAUAGAAGAUAAUACUAAGAAUAAUACAAUGCAAAGAAAAGAUACAGGAAGAAAAUAAUGUCACUUAAAAGAUAACAUGCAAGAUAAGAUAUCUUUUAAAAGUCACGUUAAUGGGACAACCAUACUAUCAACUCGAUUGUCCACAGAACAUACGUAACAAAGAAGGAAUUACAAAGCUUUUGAGUUAUGUAACGUUAGAAUUUCUAGGAAUGGUAGAAAAUGACUACUGCAUUAAAUAUCAGUAGCUUAUGCCAGCAAAAUGAUGAAUUAGUCAACAGAUCAAAUGAGGCGGAUAAAUUAAAUUUCAUCUUCACUUAAUUAUCCGAGGAGCAGAAAUUAGGUCUGGCUCGAUGUUUCAAACAGGGUCAAUGAAUGCUCCGUUGAUACGCGCAAGAAUACAUAUUCACUUUUCCUCUGUAUCUAUGAUCGCAAUUUAAUCCGCGAAACCGGCGUUAUUAAUAGAAUCUCAUAGAAGAGAUCCAGACACUGUAUGGAGCACCGAGAAUAUGUAAUCCUCGAAGAAUAUCACGAGUCUUGUUUUAUGCCGCAAAACCGAAUUUGAAUAUGUUCAUUUAUUACAGUGAUAUUUUGAAUUAGGUACUAGAACAAUUCUCAUAAACAGUUGUUAGUUGGAGUUAUAGAAAAAAUGAGUCAUAAGCUUGUUAUCAGUAUUGUCGAUAUCUUGAAGGUAAUAAUGGCUUGUUCACUCAGAGAUCUCUUGUAUUUAAUGCAUCAGUAUGUUAUUCUUCACUAUACAUUACAUCAUGUAUAAAUACAUUUACGAGAAUUAACAUAGGUUCAAGUAGAAUUAAUUUGUAGUAGUUAAUUCUUAAUUACAUAAGUGAAGAUUCCUUCCUAGUGAGAAGUUAUGUAAUUAAUAAACUAACUAGUUUUUCUACUUGAAAAUAUUUUUUUCCUUAUAUCCAAUGAAGUCGAUUUGUUAUUUUUGUUAUAGAGUCUCAACGAACGAAGGAUUAGUUUAACAGUGGAGAUUGAACCGAUGUCAACGCCGCUUGUUGGCUAUUCUUAUAUUCUUCAUUUUUAUUGCUCCAACUGAUCAGUUUAGAUGUCAUAAAUACAUAGAUAGUUUGCAGUAGAAUUGGACAGAAUAGAAUAGGAUGAUAGUAUUAAUUGUAAGUACUUAUAGCGACGAACAUAUGGAUGGAUAAAGUCCUUAUACUAAUUUAAAAAAAAUUAAAUUAAUGAGUAAAUAUUUCCUUGCUUUAUAUGGUCAGUACGGUACAUUUUUUAUAUCGGUAUCAUACAUUCAUGUAUGAAUAUGAAUCAUAAUUCUGAUUCAACGAAGGUAGACUUUACUUUCUAGUUUGACCUCUACUUUUAAUUUCAAUUAAAUUGAGUUUUUCGUAUUUGUUUUUCGUGUUUUGUAUCUGAAGCAAUGCUACAAAACUGAGUAGCUAAUUUUCUAAAAUCUCAUAUAUAUAUUAUAUAUAUAUCAGUGUAUAUAAAUUAAGAGGUUAAAAAUAGAAACAAACGAAAUCGUACGACGUCACCAUUAUGAGAUCGCAAUGAUGUCUGCAUAACGGUCGUCUGCACCGGACCUAGACGAUAAAAAAUCGUUUUGACAUGUUGCGCUGUGGUAGUACAGCCGGUUCGUCCGUGAUUCCCCCAUCGAAUGGGUGUAAAUGAAUAAAUCCAUCCUCCUCGCAGGCUUCCCGUUGUGAAAGUUCGUGUCCACAAAAAUUCUUGGAAAUCAAAUAAAGAAUCGAGCAUAGCGUAGGUUUCGAAGCGACCGACCAGUCCACGGUCAUCGUCGUGGAACGAAGAAAAAGGAAGAAAAAAGAUAAUUCUGCUGAUCAAACGGUAUCACUGGUGCAGUACACGUAGAUCAGCGUUGGUUAUUGUUGCAUCGUCAGCUGUGACUAGAAAUUUUAUGGUGGACACAGUCAAAUCACAAAAGAGAGAAUGUUCUAGUUGAGAACAGAAUAUUAACUCUGUGCACUUGAAUAUUUCUUUGCAAAUAUAUGAUUGUUUGAGUAAACAUUUUUGUAAAGUAUUUUAUUUGAUACUGUGAAGUUACGUGUUAUGAGAUAAAAGCUGAAAAUAUAAUUUAGGAAAAAUAUUUCUGUAAUUGUAAGUUUAUGUAUGAGAGAAUUAUAAGAUAGUAAUUAAAAGUAAUUAUAAAUAAGUAUAUUUUAUAGUAAUUUUCUGAUACAAAAG